rnacentral:lncRNA from 1 species
AGGGGGGUGCCCCCAUGGUGUCACCCCUGACAAGCUCCAACUCCACCAAGAGUUGUGCAUUGCUUGAGACGUGUUAUGGGGUCAUGUCUUUAUCUCUAGGGAGGUUCCUUAGUUGACAAGUCCUGCCAACGUUAAACUUGGUGCAAAAGAGUCUACUUCUUUGAAGGUGUUGGAAGUAGAUAAAAAACCCAUUACAUUAUCUCAGACCUUUAAUGUAGACUAAGGAAGAUGAUACAUCAUAGGGACUGACACUUGAUAAAUACUCUAUAAGGGCUAGUAUUAUUCUGAUAGUAUGAGGAGACAAUGAGCAGUGACUCAACCCUAAUGCAAAGUCAUACACUCAUUAGCAAUCCGUUCCCCAUGGCAAAGUCUGAUACAGAAAUAACUCCUUGUCUCCAGAUUGGCUAGGAUAAGGAAAUUAAAUAUAAUAGAUAGAUAGAUAGAUAGAUAGAUAGAUAGAUAGAUAGAUAGAUAGAUAGAUAGAUAGUUAUGGAAUUUCAGUGAGGGGUUAGUAGGUUUAUUGACCAUAGAAUGAUACAGUUAUGAGGUAUUGUGUAAUAUUCAGGCAUAUUCAUUGGCACAUGCAUUACCUGAAACACUUAGUAAACCUUUGUGCUGGGAACAUUCAAAAUCGUCUUUGUCUCUGUUAUUGUAUAUGUCUAGUUGCUGAUGAGUAUUUCAUGUUGUGCUAAAGAGCAUGUCAAAUAAUCCCUCUAACCCAACUACAGCGGUGGACCCAUUGACCACUUUGUGUCUAACCCCUCUUCUUCAUCAGCUGUGCAAAUCCCUGUUCUCUACCUCUAUAUGGUCAACAUUAUUCUUUUAAUACCAACCGUGAGAGGCAGACACAGGAAGAUCCUGGCACUGGCUGGCCUGUUAGUCCAAGCAAAUAGCUAAGAGGACCUGUCUCAAAACACAGUGCGAGGAACUAUGGGAAGCAGGGUGAUAGGCUUGUAGGACAUGUGUGUAUAACUUUUUCUUUGCUUAGAUACUUAGUGUCUUAGUUAGGGUUUUACUGCUGUGAACAGACACCAUGACCAAGGCAAGGCUUAUACAAACAACAUUUAAUUGGGGCUGGCUUACAGGUUCAAAGGUUCAGUCCAUUAUUAUCAAGGUGGGAGCAUGGCAGCAUCCAGGCAGGCAUGGUGCGGGAGGAGCUGUGAGUUCUAUGUCUUCAUCCAAAGGCUGCUAGUGGAAGACUGACUUCCAGGCAACUAGAGUGAGGAUCUUAUGCCCACACCUACAGUGACACACCUACUCCAACCAGGUCAAACCUAUUCCAACAAGGCCACACCUCCAAAUGGUGCUCUCCCAAGAAUAUACAAACAACCAUCACACUUAGCUUAAUUAAGAUGCAUGUCAUUGUCCCCUAUUCUCUUUCACCUCUUGCAGGAAUUGCUCAAAACCAAAUUCACAGAUGUGGGAGGUGACAGAGGUAACAUGUUCAGUGUUCUAGGAGCUCAGGUAGUAGUAAUUCUCAGUCCACCUCAGAUCCACAUCAGUGGGAAGCACAUGAAUUAGAAGAGCUGAAAGAUAUCUUUCUAGAAGGCUAGAAACCAUUUAUGCCCUGAUUUUGGCAGUGGUUGAAUAUACAUGUCUACAGAUGCCAGUUUCACUGGGUUUUCAUAUCUGUGUGCUUGUGACUUUUAAGAAAGAAUUUUCUAGGUUCCAACAACAGAGAGUAAUUGAUCUAGACAUGGUCCAAGAGUCAGUAGUUCUUACAAUCUCCUGCUUUUCCUUGUCUGUGAAGUCUCAUGGUCAGGCAGGAUUGAGAAUCACCUAGAAACUUCACAAAAUGUCAUUAUUCUCCCAGUCAUUAAAUCCACAAAUAUCUGAACACUGUUGAGUAGUGAAGAUGUGGGAAAUGAUCAUUCUGCUUCCUAAUUUUUACUGUCUUUCCCUUCUUACUACAUGAACUAUAAAGUAAAAUUAUCACUACUGAAGUAUUAGCAAGUAACCCAGGUCCUCAAUCUUCAGUAUCCAUCUCCCCACUAACAGUUGCCUUUGGCAUAGGUUGAAAAUAUGGUUCCCAAUUCCUAUAAGGCAGGAAGAACACAAAUUUGAGACCAGUUUUGAAUAGAUGGACAGUAAAUUCCAGGGCCACAUAUAUAACCAGUUCU